AUUGAACGCUGGCGGCAUGCCUUACACAUGCAAGUCGAACGGUAACAGGUCUUCGGAUGCUGACGAGUGGCGAACGGGUGAGUAAUACAUCGGAACGUGCCCGAUCGUGGGGGAUAACGGAGCGAAAGCUUUGCUAAUACCGCAUACGAUCUACGGAUGAAAGCAGGGGACCGCAAGGCCUUGCGCGGACGGAGCGGCCGAUGGCGGAUUAGGUAGUUGGUGGGAUAAAAGCUUACCAAGCCGACGAUCUGUAGCUGGUCUGAGAGGACGACCAGCCACACUGGGACUGAGACACGGCCCAGACUCCUACGGGAGGCAGCAGUGGGGAAUUUUGGACAAAGGGCGAAAGCCUGAUCCAGCCAUGCCGCGUGCAGGAUGAAGGCCUUCGGGUUGUAAACUGCUUUUGUACGGAACGAAAAGACUCUUUCUAAUAAAGAGGGUCCAUGACGGUACCGUAAGAAUAAGCACCGGCUAACUACGUG
rnacentral:rRNA from 1 species